GUUGACAUUAGUAUAGCUAUUGUUGACUUUCAACUUGAAAGUUGUCAUAGUAAAAUGCACAAGGUGCAAUUUGAAAUUGGAUAGUGCAUCAUCAGUUUUCCUCUUGUCAUUGCAGACCUUAGAGAGCUAUUUAUAACUUGUCAGAAUUAUCCAGAUCAACUAGCCCAUGUGAGCUAACGUUUUUUAGCCUGUAGACUGUGUUACCCAUAGAUUUUUACAUCCCAACCCGAGCACUCCUUUCUGCCACCUCUGGUCUUCUUCCCACUCAGCCCAGUCAAAGCUCUUCUGCCACGCCCUGACCAUGGAGAGCCUUUGGUUCUCCAUGAUGUUUAGAACAGAGCGUGACUAUGGGGGUGUUCUAGUCAUUCUCUGUCUAUGUUUUGUGAUUGAGUAUGGUUCCCAAUUAGAGGCAGCUGUUUAUCGUUGUCUCUAAUUGGGAAUCAUACUUAAGGGUUCCCUGUUUUCACCUGCUUGCUGGGAUAUUGAUUGUUUGUUAGUGUCCUCACGGUUUUUGUAAAUUUUGUUGUUUUGUUAGUUUCACUUAAAUAAAUAUGUGGAACUAUACUCACGCUGCGCCUUGGUCCGCUCAUUUCCAAGAUCGUGACAUCUUCUCUGUCCUGGCACCCCAAUGGUGGAACCAGCUUGCCUUUAAAGUCAGGACAGUGGAAUCCCUGCCCAUCUUCCGAAAACAUCUGAAACCCUACCUCUUUGAAGAGCAUCUUAAAUAACACUCACAGCGUCCCUGACUUUUCCUACUAGCACUGAUUUUGUGGUAAAUACUUUGUUGAGGGAAAAUGUACUUGAUACGAUCGUGAUGUGCUGUUGUCUCACCUAGAUAUCUUAAGAUGAAUGCACUAAUCGUAAGUUGCUCUGGAUAAGAGUGUCUGCUAAAUUACAAAAAUGUGAAAUGUAAUAUCCAAGAGUGAGUCUUUAAAGGCCUCUCAGCGAACUGGUGUGUCUUCAUAGCUCAUAGAUGGAGAGUCAGUGUGAUGAUUGUCCUCUUCCAUACACUAUAGCUGUAGUUAUACAUCAUGAAUCAGUUAGCAGGUCCAAAGAUCUAACAUGUUCACAGCUAUGUUGUCUCAAGUUGACACAAUGCUGCCGUGUUUGUACGGUCGCCUUCCUCAGUCAUUUAGAGUCAAAUCCCAGUGGGCACAGAAGUCAAUUCAACAUAUAUUUAAUGUUGGUUAAACAAUGUUGAUUCAAACAGUGUGUACCCAGGGUGAUUACAGUUCAGGUUCAACUUCAACUCUUAUUCAGUGAUUCAGCUCCAACCCUGUCUUGUAUACUCCUCUUUUCAACUCGGUGUGGCCAUGUUGAGCUAGUUUCACUGCCAGCUCAGGGGUGGCCAUUUUGAAAAAUGUUGUUCACAUUUAGGGUUCCAAUAAAGUCCUAGGGAAAUAGCUAGUCCCAAGAAAACUCAGGAACAGACAUGUAAGGUGAAGCUUUAACACUGAUACAUGUAUAUAGAGUGUAUUGCUAUUUAAUCCCAGCAUGCAUAGCCGGUUGUAAUGACUUCACUUCAACCUGUUUACAAUGACAUGGAUGUAAUGACAUCACUUCAACCAGUUUACAACAGCAUGGUUGUAAUAUGGUUGUAAUGACAUCACUUCAACCAGUUUACAACAGCAUGGUUGUAAUAUGGUUGUAAUGACAUCACUUCAACCAUUUACAACAGCAUGGUUGUAAUAUGGUUGUAAUGACAUCACUUCAACCAGUUUACAACAGCAUGGUUGUAAUAUGGUUGUAAUGACAUCAUUUCAACCACUUUAAAACAAUAUGGUUGUAAUAUGGUUGUAAUGACAUCAUCUAAGACAGUUUUGACCACUGAGAAUACUGUUUAGCAAACAGAAAGGAUGAACCAUUAUUACAUUUCUACCAUCCAUAUUUAAUAUCUAUGUAUCCAAUAUCUAUGUAUCCAUGGCCAUUUCUACCAUACAUAUUUAAUAUCUCUGUAUCACAGUUGAAAUAAUUGGUUGAAUUACCUUAGCACUCAGUAUCUCAUAAUCAUACCCACAACUCAACACAGGUACUGAUGUGAUAUGUUGUAUCCUAUUAAUACAAAACUCUUAACAGGUCUAAAAACCACACAAUUAUAACCUUCAGCUACCACAUAUUUACAGAAAACACACAAUUUUUUCUUCUUCAUUAAAACUCACAUUGGCAUGGUUGUUUAAAAGUCCCGACUACAUAAAACCAUACCCUGCCAUUCCAGACACAAAACAGAAUAUCCAAUCAGGCCCAAAACAGUUCAAACAGAAGCGUGAAAUCUAUUAAAACGCAAACCAUGUGUUUACCACUUCACAGAGGAAAAAUAAAUUAAACUCUUUUAACAACAUCAACAAACAGAAACCUGUCAUAGCAUAGAGCUGUGAAGUCUGUUUGUUCUCUUGCCUUUCAGGCAUAGAUAGAUAUGAUUUAGGGUUCUAUUCAAUCCGUAGGGCUGUAUAGUGUGAUUGAAAAAUGAAGGCAAUGUUCCCGCAGUCGUGGAGACUGCAUUGAAGGCGAACACUGCAUGUAUCAGCUCAAUCAGAAAUUAUCGUUACAUUUUAACACGGAUCUUCCGCGAUACUUCCGCCAUACGGAUUUAAUCAAGCCCUUAUGCAGUAACUAGAGAUGCCCAUGAUGGGCUUCUCUCCUGACAAGCAUAGAUUAGAAGCAAACUGUUAGAUCAGGUAAGAAUUCUACUAAAACCAUGGAAAUGCCACGCAUGUGUCCCCCCUUGGAGAUAGAACCAGAAUAAGACUACAUUUAGGCUACUGCUUUAAUGUGUAUUUCCCACUUUCUUGAGGUAACAAGGGAGAAUAUUGCUUGUAUGGAUGUCAACCCCAACACUUGUUCAACCCCAACACAUGUUUGAAUGAAUGCCAAUGACAGCAUCUACAGUUGAAGUCGGAGGUUUACAUACACCUUAGCCAAAUACAUGUAAACUUAGUUUUUCACAAUUCCUGACAUUUAAUCAUAGUAAAAAUAUCCCUGUCUUAGGUCAGUUAGGAUCACCACUUUAUUUUAAGAAUGUGAAAUGUCAGAAUAAUAGUAGAGAGAAUGAUUUAUUUCAGCUUUAUUUCUUUCAUCACAUUCCCAGUGGGUCAGACGUUUACAUACACUCAAUUGGUAUUUGGUAGAAUUGCCAUUACAUUGCUUAACGUGGGUCAAACGUUUUGGGUAGCCUUCCACAAGCUUCCCACAAUAAGUUGGGUGAAUUUUGGCCCAUUCCUCCUGACAGAGCUGGUGUAACUGAGUCAGGUUUGUAGGCCUCCUUGCUCGCACACGCUUUCUCAGUUCUGCCCACAAGUUUUCUAUAGGAUUGAGGUCAGGGCUUUGUGAUGGCCACUCCAAUAUCUUGACUUUGUGUCCUUAAGCCAUUUUGCCACAACUUUGGAAGUAUGUUUGGGGUCAUUGUCCAUUUGGAAGACCCAUUUGCGAACAAGCUUUAACUUCCUGACUGAUGUGUUGAGAUGUCGCUUCAAUAUAUCCACAUACUUUCCCUCCCUCAUGAUCCCAUCUAUUUUGUGAAGUGCACCAGUGCCUCCUGCAGCAAAGCACCCCCACAACAUGAUACUGCCACCCCCGUGCAUCACGGUUGGGAUGGUGUUCCUCGGCUUGCAAGUCUCCCCCUUUUUCCUUCAAACAUGAGGAUGGUCAUUGUGGUCAAACAGUUCUAUUUUUGUUUCAUCAGACCAGAGGACAUUUCUCCAAAAAGUAUGAUCUUUGUCCCCAUGUGCAGUUGCAAACCGUAGUCUGGCUUUUUUAUGGCGGUUUUGGAGCAGUGGCUUCUUCCUUGCUGAACGGCCUUUCAGGUUAUGUCGAUAUAGGACUCGUUUCACUGUGGAUAUACAUACUUUUGUACCUGUUUCCUCCAGCAUCUUCACAAGGUCCUUUGCUGUUGUUCUGGAAUUGAUUUGCACUUUUCGCAAGAUACGAUCAUCUCAAAGAGACAGAACGCGUCUCCAACCUGAGCAGUAUGACGGCUGCGGGGUCCCGUGGUGUUUAUACUUGCGUACUAUUGUUUGUACAGAUGAACGUGGUACCUUCAGGCGUUUGGAAAUUGCUCCCAAGGAUGAACCAGACUUGUGGAGAUCUACAAUUAUAUUCAGAGGUCUUGACUGAUUUCUUUUGAUUUUCCCAUGAUGUCAAGCAAAGAGGCACUGAGUUUGAAGGUAGGCAUUGAAAUACAUCCACAGUUACACCUCCAAUUGAUUCAAAUGAUGUCAAUUAGCCUAACAGAAGCUUCUAAAGCCAUGACAUACAUUUCUGGAAUUUUCCAAGCUGUUUAAAGGCACAGUCAACUUACUGUAUGUAAACUUCUGACCCACUGGAUUUGGGAUAGAGUGAAUUAUAAGUGAAAUAAUCUGUCUGUAAACAAUUGUUGGAAAAAUGAAUUGUCAUUCACAAAGUAGAUGUCCUAACCGACUUGCCAAAACUAUAGUUUGUUAACAAGAAAUUUGUGGAGUGGUUGAAAAACGAGUUUUAAUGACUCCAACCUAAGUGUAUGUAAAUGUCCGACUUCAACUGUAUGUGGUAUCCCCCAUGGUCUGCGUUCCAUUGAUCUGUUACCGUAUGUUUUGGUCGUGGCAAAGUGAACAAUAACACUUUGUUAGUGAGAGCCACCAACCAUACAGUAAGUCCUUUAUUCCAGUGACUUCAGGAAACCCAAAACUGACUCUAGAUCAGUGGCUAGGUGAAACUUCAACCUACUCCAUUGGUGGUCUUGUAGUGCAAGUCUGUAUGGCUGACAUUUGAAAAUGCCCUAAAAAUGUAUGGUGUCAUCUCGCAUACUGUUUUGGAGAAAAGGGAUUCUGAAUGACACUAUGGCGUGUAUGACAUCAUUAAUCACAGAGGUACUAAACAUAGGAUUGUUUACUGAACCACAGAUACUGACCAUUAGUUUAACAUACUACUGCAUGCCUGUAUUAUGUGGUUGUUUCAAUUUGCAAUAUGUAACUUUCCAUUCCAGUCAGAAGUGCUUGCACUGUACUUGGUUAUAAACUGAGAAGAUGGGGUUUGGCAGAUGUAACCAGUAGAUUUGUAUUUUCCUUCCUGGCCAAGUGUGUUUGCAGUACAUUGCGUAGCCACAGAGGAUAUUCAAGUUGCAGACUGUAUCCUUAAACCCACUACACCACGUUUUUAUAUAUUUAUUAUACAUGUAUAUACACUGUAUAUAUUCAAUAUACAGUGCCAGUCAAAAUUUCAAUAACCCCUACUCAUUCAAGGGUUUUUCUUAUUUUUUAAAACUAUUUUCUGCAUUGUAGAAUAAUAGUGAAGACAUCAAAACUCUGAAAUAACACAUAUGGAAUCGUGUUUUAACCAAAAAGGUGUUAAACAAAUCAAAAUAGAUUUGAGAUUCUUCAAAGUAGCCACCAUUUGCCUUGAUGACAGCUUUGCACAAUCUUGGCAUUCUCUCAACCAGCUUCAUAAGGUAGUCACCUGGAAUGCAUUUCAAUUAACAGGUGUGCCUUGUUAAAAGUUAAUUUGUGGAAUUUCUUUCCUUCUUAAUGCGUUUGAGCCAAUCAAUUGUGUUGUGACAAGGUAGGGGUGGUAUACAGAAGAUAGCUCUUUUUGGUAAAAGACCAAGUCCAUAUUAUGGCAAGAACAGCUCAAAAAAGCAAAGAGAAAUGACAGUCCAUCAUUACUUCAAGACAUGAAGGUCAGUCAAUCUGGAAAAUGUCAAGUUUCUUCAAUUGCAUUCGCAAAAACCAUCAAGAGCUAUGAUGAAACUGUCUCUCAUAAGGACCGCCACAGGAAAGGAAGACCCAGAGUUGAUGUACUUCUGCUGCAGAGGAUAAGUUCAUUAGAGAAACCAGCCUCAAUAAAAGCCCAAAUAAAUGCUUCACAGAGUUAAAGUAAUAGACACAUCUCAACAUCAACUGUUCAGAGGAGACCGCGUGAAUCAGGCCUUCAUGGUUGUUUUGCUGCAAAGAAACCAUGACUAAAGGACACCAAUAUGAAGAAGGGACUUGCUUGUGCUAAGAAACACAAGCAAUGGACAUUUGACUGGUGGACAUCUGUCCUUUGGUCAGAUGAGUCCAAAUUGGAGAUUUUUGAUUCCAACCACCAUGUCUUUGUGAGACACAGAGUAGGUGAACGGAUGAUCUCAGCAUGUGUGGUUCCCAAUGUGAAGCAUGGAGGAGGUAUGAUAGUGUCGGGGUGUUUUGCUGGUGACACUGUCGAUGAUUUAUUUAGAAUUCAAGUCACACAAACAGCAUGGCUACCACAGCAGUCUGCAGCGAUACGCCAUUGGUUUGUGCUUAAUGAGACUAUAAUUUGUUUUUCAACAGGACAAUGACCCAAAAUACACCUCCAGGCUGUGUAAGGGAUAUUUGACCAAUUGCCUGCCCUCAAGCCAAUUGAGAUGAUUUGGGAUGAGUUGGACUGCAGAGUGAAGGAAAAGCAGCCAACAAGUGCUCAGCAUAUGUGGGAACUCCUUCAAGACUGUUGAAGAAGCAUUCCAGGUGAAGGUGGGUGAGAGAAUGCCAUGAGUGUGCAAAGCUGUAAUCAAGGCAAAGGGUGGCUACUUUUAAGAAUCUAAAAUAUAUUUUCAUUUGUUUAUCACGUUAUUGGUUACUACAUGAUUCCAUAUGUG
ensembl:lncRNA